UACGUAGGGGGCAAGCGUUGUCCGGAUUUAUUGGGCGUAAAGAGCGUGUAGGCGGCUUGGUAGGUCCGCUGUGAAAACUCGAGGCUCAACCUCGAGAUGUCGGCGGAAACCACUUGGCUAGAGUCCGGAAGAGGAGAGUGGAAUUCCUGGUGUAGCGGUGAAAUACGCAGAUAUCAGGAAGAACACCUAUGGCGAAGGCAGCUCUCUGGGACGGUACUGACGCUGAGACGCGAAAGCGUGGGGAGCGAACAGG
rnacentral:rRNA from 1 species